AUACAGAGGGUGCGAGCGUUAAUCGGAUUUACUGGGCGUAAAGCGUGCGUAGGUGGUUGGAUAAGUCAGAUGUGAAAGCCCCGGGCUUAACCUGGGAACUGCAUUUGAUACUGUCUAGCUAGAGUUUGGUAGAGGGAAGUGGAAUUCCAGGUGUAGCGGUGAAAUGCGUAGAUAUCUGGAGGAACACCAGUGGCGAAAGCGGCUUCCUGGACCGAAACUGACACUGAGGCACGAAAGCGUGGGGAGCAAACAGGAUUAGAUACCCCGGUAGUCC
rnacentral:rRNA from 1 species